rnacentral:SRP_RNA from 1 species
AGUUCGGCGGGGGUAACGACUUGUUUUGUAGACAGGGGUGAACAGCGCUGUUGGCACCAAGUCUGCAGGCGUGGAAGCAAGCAGCCACGGCGGACG